rnacentral:lncRNA from 1 species
GAUCGAGAUCCUUCGUGGCUUCACCAAAGAAUUUAGUUCAUAGAUUUCUUGAGCCAAAAAUCAAAGAAAAGUGUUAGGAGGUGAAUGGUGGCGUUUUCUAUCGAGAUUAGGGCUUAAAAAUCGUGUGAAAACUUGUUACCAUAAGUAUUUGAGUCGAUUAAGGAAAGCAAAAUUUUCGUCCCAGAGAAAAGCCCAUGCGGCCACAUGGUUAUAACUCUUGGGUUGCAUGGUUAUGAAGUUUUCAGCCCUCAAGUUUCGUUAACAAUUUGGGCGGCAGAAUGGUUUUCUUCCUUGCCCGCAUUGUUAUUACAGUUUUCUCGGUCGGACAGUUUUCGAUAUUUUGAUCAUAAUUUUCUCUCAUGACAUCCGAUUGAGAUGAUUCAAGUUGAGUUAGAAAGCUAACUUAAAGAGCUACAACUUUACUUUAGAAACCAUCUUCUAAUUCUAUCAUCUUCCAUGUCAAAAAUGGGUCCCAAUAUGAGGCUAAAAAUCAGUGCGUAACUUUUUCGAUUGAGAAUUGAUUUGUGAUGUUAUGAUCAUAUUUCACUUCCUUUGACUUCUAAUUGCACCCAAUUGACUCUUAUCAUUCUUGAAUCAUCAUUCCAUUGCCCAUCUCAUCUAUGAAUUAUUUACAACUUGGUCCUUGAACUUUCACUUAUUCUCACUUUAGUCCUUUUUCAUUUGUUUCUUCCAAAUUUCACCGUUUUCACCAAAAUGUAACCUAAACCAAAAUAUAAGAGUAAUGAGUGCAUUUUGGCAUAAUAUAAUCACAUUAAUGCAAUAAUUAAGGGGGGAAAAUAUGGUAUUUUACACUAUUAUCACACACCCCAACUUGCUUAUUGCUAGUCCCUAGCAAUUCAAUGCAAAACAAAACAAAUGAAUGACUGAUCCAUAUUACAAGUGAAAUUGUUGAGUUCUAAUUCAAUUGCAAUUCACUAUCUUUUCAAACUCAACACCACAAGAAAUUAGCAAUGUUAUGAUUAUCAAGAUACCAAAAACAUUUGCUAAAUGUGUGAGUGUGAGUCAAGCCAUAGCCAUCUUACCGUCAACCCUAUCACAUGCAACAUUGAGUGUGUCUCUAGCUAAAGGUCCUACCCCAUAACUCAGGGGUAUUAAAGUGUUUAGUGCGGGGUUUCUCUCUAUGGAGCUGGGAAAGAUGCACACUCAGAACAUGGAAGCUUAAAUAUUUAUGAACAAGCAACAAGCAAAAUUGAUCACAUGAUAGAAAUACUUUCAAAUGAGAAUUCAUCAACUUCCUACCACAAACCUACUUGAGAUCGAAACAGGCAACGUAAAGGGUGUUAAAAGGGUUAAGUUGGGUUGUAUGAAAAGUAGGGCGAAAAGAAUUUAAGGACUUUCAAGUAUCUAGCUAAGCACCUCAACAAGUAUUUCAACAUAUCAAUCCUUUACAUCAACGUAUUCCUCAACCUUUCAAUUCCCAACAACAAUCCACCCCUUUUGUUCAUUUCAUUUCUUUUUCUUUUUCCUUUUUUCAAAUUCCCUUUCCUUUUGUUUUUUUUCACCUCACCCGAGCACUUAUCAUCUUCUAUCACUUGCCUCGUUACUUUUCUUCUCAAAUAGACAUUUAACACUUACUAUACACUUGGGAGUAUAAAGGUAGGAAAAUGACUAUUUAUAGACUUUAAUCCAG